UAAAGCCCUAUGAUGGGAAACUAUCACGUUAGGUUUGGAGAGAGAUCGGACCGGUUAUAUAAUAGCCCUAGGAGAGCAGAUGCAAGCUUUUUCUUUCAAUAGCCGGCCAAAUGACUACAGGAUCAUCGGUCUACUCUAC